AUACGUAGGUGACAAGCGUUAUCCGGAUUUACUGGGCGUAAAGGGCGUGUAGGCGGUCUUGCAAGUCAGAAGUGAAAUUCCUGAGCUCAACUCGGGCGCUGCUUCUGAAACUGCGAGUCUUGAGUGAUGGAGAGGCAGGCGGAAGUUCCCGGGUGGGGGUAAAAUGCAUAGAUAUUGGGAAGAACACCAGUGGCGAAGGCGGCCUGCUGGACAUUAACUGACGCUGAGGAGCGAAAGUGUGGGGAGCAAACAGGAUUAGAUACCCUGGUAGUCCACACCGUAAACGAUGGAUACUAGGUGUGCGGGGACUGACCCCCUGCGUGCCGCAGCUAACACAAUAAGUAUCCCACCUGGGGAGUACGAUCGCAAGAUUGAAACUCAAAGGAAUUGACGGGG
rnacentral:rRNA from 1 species